UUAAGUUCAGCGGGUAUCCCUACCUGAUCCGAGGUCAAGUCAUGAAGGUGUCUUGCUGGAGCGCUGAUCCGCCGGGCCUCCGAGAAGCGCAUUUGUGCUGCGCGAGGGGCCGGCACGACCGCCGCCAAUGACUUUAGGGCGAGUCCGCGCUGCGGGAGCGGGACAGGCGCCCAACACCAAGCAGAGCUUGAGGGUGUAAA
rnacentral:misc_RNA from 1 species